UACUCGAGUGGCGAACGGGUGAGUAACACGUGGGUUAUCUGCCCUGCACUUCGGGAUAAGCUUGGGAAACUGGGUCUAAUACCGGAUAGGACCGCACUUUAGUGUGUGUGGUGGAAAGUUUUUUCGGUGUAGGAUGAGCUCGCGGCCUAUCAGCUUGUUGGUGGGGUAAUGGCCUACCAAGGCGGCGACGGGUAGCCGGCCUGAGAGGGUGUACGGCCACAUUGGGACUGAGAUACGGCCCAG
rnacentral:rRNA from 1 species